GGGGGGACGCAGUAGGAUAGGCGAAGCGUGCGAUUGGAUUGCACGUCUAAGCAGUAAGGCUGAGUAUUAGGCAAAUCCGGUACUCGUUAAGGCUGAGCUGUGAUGGGGAGAAGACAUUGAGUCUUCGAGUCGUUGAUUUCACACUGCCGAGAAAAGCCUCUAGAUAGAAAAUAGGUGCCCGUACCGCAAACCGACACAGGUAGUCAAGAUGAGAAUUCUAAGGUGAGCGAGCGAACUCUCGUUAAGGAACUCGGCAAAAUGACCCCGUAACUUCGGGAGAAGGGGUGCUCUUUAGGGUUAACGCCCAGAAGAGCCGCAGUGAAUAGGCCCAAGCGACUGUUUAUCAAAAACACAGGUCUCUGCUAAACCGUAAGGUGAUGUAUAGGGGCUGACGCCUGCCCGGUGCUGGAAGGUUAAGAGGAGUGGUUAGCUUCUGCGAAGCUACGAAUCGAAGCCCCAGUAAACGGCGGCCGUAACUAUAACGGUCCUAAGGUAGCGAAAUUCCUUGUCGGGUAAGUUCCGACCCGCACGAAAGGCGUAACGAUUUGGGCACUGUCUCAACGAGAGACUCGGUGAAAUCAUAGUACCUGUGAAGAUGCAGGUUACCCGCGACAGGACGGAAAGACCCCGUGGAGCUUUACUGUAGCCUGAUAUUGAAAUUCGGCACAGCUUGUACAGGAUAGGUAGGAGCCUUUGAAACGUGAGCGCUAGCUUACGUGGAGGCGCUGGUGGGAUACUACCCUAGCUGUGUUGGCUUUCUAACCCGCACCACUUAUCGUGGUGGGAGACAGUGUCAGGCGGGCAGUUUGACUGGGGCGGUCGCCUCCUAAAAGGUAACGGAGGCGCUCAAAGGUUCCCUCAGAAUGGUUGGAAAUCAUUCAUAGAGUGUAAAGGCAUAAGGGAGCUUGACUGCGAGACCUACAAGUCGAGCAGGGUCGAAAGACGGACUUAGUGAUCCGGUGGUUCCGCAUGGAAGGGCCAUCGCUCAACGGAUAAAAGCUACCCCGGGGAUAACAGGCUUAUCUCCCCCAAGAGUUCACAUCGACGGGGAGGUUUGGCACCUCGAUGUCGGCUCAUCGCAUCCUGGGGCUGUAGUCGGUCCCAAGGGUUGGGCUGUUCGCCCAUUAAAGCGGUACGCGAGCUGGGUUCAGAACGUCGUGAGACAGUUCGGUCCCUAUCCGUCGUGGGCGUAGGAAAUUUGAGAGGAGCUGUCCUUAGUACGAGAGGACCGGGAUGGACAUACCUCUGGUGUACCAGUUGUCGUGCCAACGGCAUAGCUGGGUAGCUAUGUGUGGACGGGAUAAGUGCUGAAAGCAUCUAAGCAUGAAGCCCCCCUCAAGAUGAGAUUUCCCAACUUCGGUUAUAAGAUCCCUCAAAGAUGAUGAGGUUAAUAGGUUCGAGGUGGAAGCAUGGUGACAUGUGGAGCUGACGAAUACUAAUCGAUCGAAGACUUAAUCAA
rnacentral:rRNA from 1 species